AUUGAACGCUGGCGGCAGGCCUAACACAUGCAAGUCGAGCGGAUGAAGGGAGCUUGCUCCUGGAUUCAGCGGCGGACGGGUGAGUAAUGCCUAGGAAUCUGCCUGGUAGUGGGGGAUAACGUCCGGAAACGGGCGCUAAUACCGCAUACGUCCUGAGGGAGAAAGUGGGGGAUCUUCGGACCUCACGCUAUCAGAUGAGCCUAGGUCGGAUUAGCUAGUUGGUGGGGUAAAGGCUUACCAAGGCGACGAUCCGUAACUGGUCGGAGAGGAUGAUCAGUCACACUGGAAGUGAGACACGGUCCAGGCUCCUACGGGAGGCAGCAGUGGGGAAUAUUGGACAAUGGGCGGAAGCCUGGUCCAGCCGGGCCGCGUGUGUGAAGAAGGUCUUCGGAUUGUAAAGCACUUUAAGUUGGGAGGAAGGGCAGUAAGUUAAUACCUUGCUGUUUUGACGUUACCAACAGAAUAAGCACCGGCUAACUUCGUG
rnacentral:rRNA from 1 species